rnacentral:rRNA from 1 species
AAUGAACGCUGGCGGCGUGCCUAACACAUGCAAGUCGGAUGUGCCGCAAGGUGCAUGGCAGACGGGUGAGUAACGCGUGGGGAAUCUACCUUUUUGUGGGGAAUAACGCUCCGAAAGGAGUGGUAAUACCGGCAUGAGACCGAGAGCUGGGAUGUUUUCGGUGAAACCUGGGGACCGCAAGGCCUGGGGCAAAAAGAGGAUCCUGCGUCUGAUUAGCUAGUUGGCGGGUAAUGGCCCACAAGGCGACGAUCAGUAGCCGGCCUGAGAGGGUGAUCGGCCACACUGGAACUGAGACACGGGUCCAGACUCCUACGGGAGGCAGCAGUGGGGAAUAUUGCACAAUGGGGGAAACCCUGGAUGCAGCGACGCCGC